GGCCUGGUACCCAAGUGGUUAAGGGAAGAGUCUGCAAAACUCUCAUUCGGGGGUUCGAUUCCCCCCCAGGCCU
rnacentral:tRNA from 1 species